rnacentral:tRNA from 1 species
GCCUCUGUAGCUCAGUUGGUUAGAGCGCUGCACCGGAAUUGCAGGGCCGUUGGUUCAAUUCCUGCCAGAGGAC